UAGGGAAUCUUCCGCAAUGGACGCAAGUCUGACGGAGCAACGCCGCGUGAGUGAAGAAGGAUUUCGGUUCGUAAAACUCUGUUGUUAGAGAAGAACAGCGCAUAGAGUAACUGUUAUGCGUGUGACGGUAUCUAACCAGAAAGCCACGGCUAACUACGUGCCAGCAGCCGCGGUAAUACGUAGGUGGCAAGCGUUGUCCGGAUUUAUUGGGCGUAAAGCGAGCGCAGGCGGUCAAUUAAGUCUGAUGUGAAAGCCCCCGGCUCAACCGGGGAGGGUCAUUGGAAACUGGUUUACUUGAGUGCAGAAGAGGAGAGUGGAAUUCAAUGUGUAGCGGUGAAAUGCGUAGAUAUAUGGAGGAACACCAGUGGCGAAGGCGACUCUCUGGUCUGUAACUGACGCGGAGGUUCGAAAGCGUGGGUAGCAAACAGG
rnacentral:rRNA from 1 species